rnacentral:tRNA from 1 species
GGGGAUACAGCUCAGUUGGUAGAGUGCUUGCUAGCAUGCACAAGGCCCUGGGUUCAAUCCCCAGCAAAUUAUCAUCA